CCUUCGGGAACGUCUGACACAGGUGCUGCAUGGCUGUCGUCAGCUCGUGUCGUGUAGAUGUUGGGUUAAGUCCGUAACGAGCGCAACCCUUGUCCUUAGUUACCAGCACGUUAUGGUGGGCACUCUAAGGAGACUGCCGGUGACAAACCGGAGGAAGGUGGGGAUGACGUCAAGUCAUCAUGGCCCUUACGGCCUGGGCUACACACGUGCUACAAUGGUCGGUACAAAGGGUUGCCAAGCCGCGAGGUGGAGCUAAUCCCAUAAAACCGAUCGUAGUCCGGAUCGCAGUCUGCAACUCGACUGCGUGAAGUCGGAAUCGCUAGUAAUCGUGAAUCAGAAUGUCACGGUGAAUACGUUCCCGGGCCUU
rnacentral:rRNA from 1 species